ACGGAAGGCAGCAGUGGGGAAUAUUGCACAAUGGAGGAAACUCUGAUGCAGCGACGCCGCGUGAGUGAUGAAGUAUUUCGGUAUGUAAAGCUCUAUCAGUAGGGAAGAUAAUGACGGUACCUAACUAAGAAGCACCGGCUAAAUACGUGCCAGCAGCCGCGGUAAUACGUAUGGUGCAAGCGUUAUCUGGAUUUACUGGGUGUAAAGGGAGCGCAGACGGCAUGGCAAGCCAGAUGUGAAAUGCGGGGGCUCAACUCCUGAACUGCAUUUGGAACUGUCAAGCUAGAGUAUCGGAGAGGUAAGUGGAAUUCCUAGUGUAGCGGUGAAAUGCGUAGAUAUUAGGAGGAACACCAGUGGCGAAGGCGGCUUACUGGACGAUAACUGACGUUGAGGCUCGAAAGCGUGGGGAGCAAACAGGAUUAGAUACCCUGGUA
rnacentral:rRNA from 1 species